rnacentral:rRNA from 1 species
UACGGGGGGGGCAAGCGUUGUUCGGAAUUACUGGGCGUAAAGGGCUCGUAGGUGGCCAACUAAGUCAGACGUGAAAUCCCUCAGCUUAACUGGGGAACUGCGUCUGAUACUGGAUGGCUUGAGUUUGGGAGAGGGAUGCGGAAUUCCAGGUGUAGCGGUGAAAUGCGUAGAUAUCUGGAGGAACACCAGUGGCGAAAGCGGCUCUCUGGUCCAAAACUGACGCUGAGGGGCGAAAGCGUGGGGAGCGAACGGG